rnacentral:rRNA from 1 species
CAAGUUACGGGGGCUGGCGCAAGCCAGUAACCGGCGAACGGGUGCGUAACACGUGAGCGACCUGCCUUAUCGAGGGGGAUAGCCGGCCCAACGGCCGGGUAAUACCGCAUACGCUUGUUUGGGGGCAUCCCUGGACAAGGAAACCUCCGGGGCGAUGAGAGGGGCUCGCGGCCUAUCAGCUAGUUGGCGGGGUAACGGCCCACCAAGGCGAUGACGGGUAGCUGGUCUGAGAGGAUGGCCAGCCACAUUGGGACUGAGAGACGGCCCAGACUCCUACGGGAGGCAGCAGUGGGGAAUCUUGCGCAAUGGCCGAAAGGCUGACGCAGCGACGCCGCGUGGAGGAUGACGCCCUUCGGGGUGUAAACUCCUGUUGCCCGGGACGAAUGCCCUUUUUUGAGGGAGUGACGGUACCGGGUGAGGAAGCACCGGCUAACUCUGUGCCAGCAGCCGCGGUAAUACAGAGGGUGCGAGCGUUGUCCGGAAUCACUGGGCGUAAAGGGCGCGUAGGUGGUUGGGGAAGCGUGUUGGUGAAAGCCCGGGGCUCAACCCCGGGUCGGCCAUGCGAACUGCCCGACUGGAGCACGGUAGAGGCCAAUGGAAUUCCGGGUGUAGCGGUGGAAUGCGUAGAGAUCCGGAAGAACACCGGUGGCGAAGGCGGUUGGCUGGGCCGUGGCUGACACUGAUGCGCGACAGCGUGGGGAGCAAACAGGAUUAGAUACCCUGGUAGUCCACGCCGUAAACGAUGGGCACUAGGUCCUUGGGGGAGCGACCCCCGUGAGGGCCGGCGCUAACGCAUUAAGUGCCCCGCCUGGGGAGUACGGCCGCAAGGCUGAAACUCAAAGGAAUUGACGGGGGCCCGCACAAGCGGUGGAGCAUGUGGUUUAAUUCGACGCAACGCGAAGAACCUUACCUAGGCUUGACAUGCA